UUGAAACCGAUGAGCAAGAGUAAGUAAAAAUGAGAUUUUGUUUUCAGAGAGUUGUAGGUUGGUGUGAUACAGCAGCAAUAUCAUUUUGAAUGGACUUGUGAGGGCAGCUUGAAAGAGUAUCGAGUAGACGCUGACGGAAACCUGUACCGUUACGAACAGGAGUGCAUGGUGGUGCAUGAUGAGUGGGUUAUACCGAUUAGCCAAUAAGGGUGGUACCGCAGAAGUUGAUAGCUUUUGUCCCUGUU
rnacentral:ncRNA from 1 species